rnacentral:rRNA from 1 species
GUAAUCAAAAGUUCAUUAAUUGUGGACCGGUAUGAAAGAAUAAAUUUCGAGUUAUUUCUACAGGAGGGGCAGUGAAUUUAAAUGGCAUUAAAAAAUAAGCCAAUAAAUGAUAGACGAGAAGACCCUAAAAGCUUUUUUUAAUAAAUUAUUUGGGGAAAAUAGUUAAACUUACCUUAUCGGGUUUUUUUUGAAUAACCAAUAAAUAAGCUACUUUAGGGAUAACAGAGCAAUUCCUUUUCUAAGCUCUUAUAUAAAAAGGAGAUUGCGACCUCGAUGUUGGAUUCUCGAAUCUAAAGGUUGCAGUAGGCCUUAAAAGAUUAGACUGUUCGUUUUUUAAACCGAG